rnacentral:rRNA from 1 species
CCUACGGGUGGCAGCAGUGAGGAAUAUUGGUCAAUGGACGCAAGUCUGAACCAGCCAUGCCGCGUGCAGGAAGACGGCUCUAUGAUUUGUAAAUUGCUUUUUUACGAGGGUAAAUCCCGAUACGUGUAUCGGGUUGAAAGUAUCGUACGAAUAAGGAUCCGCUAACUCCGUGCAAGCAGCAGCGGUAAUACGGAGGGUUCAAGCGUUAUCCGGAUUUAUUGGGUUUAAAGGGUGCGUUGGCGGUGCGAUAAGUUAGAGGUGAAAUCCCCGGGCUGAAAUCCGGCACUGCCUCGGACACUGUGGGGCUAGAGUUGAGUUGCGGUAGGCGGAAGGUAUGGUGUAGCGGUGAAAUGCAUAGAGAUCAUACAGAAAACCGAUUGCGAAGGCAGCUUACCAAACUACGACUGACGUUGAGGCACGAAAGCGUGGGGAGCAAACAGGAUUAGAUACCCCUGUAGUC